rnacentral:tRNA from 1 species
GGCUUUAUAGUCAAUAAUGACAUUAGACUGCAAUUCUAAAGGAGUAGUAAAUUACUAAGGCUU